GAAGCUGGCUGGCUGAGAAUAAGAAAAUACAGUAUGUGAGCACUUGGAGGAGAAACUGUAGGUUGCAAUAGUGGAAGGGAGGAGGAUUUUGAGCAAAAGAAGAAACUUGUGUUGUUAGGAGCUGCGACCACGCUAUUCAUUGCCUGAGUAGCCAAGCAUGUUAAGGUUUCUGCUGGAAAGGAAGACAUCACUUUCUAGAAAUAUCUCUAUGAAAUGGCUCGCACAGACUGUGGACCAGGGAAGGAUGAUGCUACAGAUGCACGGUCUCUCCAAGGCACCAACUGAAUCAAGCAUCUGUGUAGAGAGAAGAGAUUCAGCCCCAAGAUGAGAUCCAGGAAUCUAGGAUGUACUCAGGGAGAUGAAGACUACAGCCUACUCAUUCUGUCACUUUAUGCCCCCCUCUUUCUCCUCUCACUCUCUCAGUAUGGUGCAUUAUAGAACAACAAAGAGAGAAAAGGAAAUGAAGACCAUGAGCCUUGCAUAAUAAAUAUUAACUGAGAAGUACCUGGAUCUUAUGAGAAAUAUAUACCUUAUUAAAAAAAGCCAUGCUCUUCAAACUGGCCAGGAUUUAAGUGAUUUCCAGUGAGUACCUUACAAGAAUUCUUCUCAUGUGUGGAGGAGAAGUUCAACACCAUAAAUGGAUGUGGUACAGCGCCCCAGAGGGAAUUACAAUGAAAGUGAAAUCCAAAGAAUUCCAAGAGAACCACACCUGCAGAUCAUGCUCCAUUCAUUUGUGUACUUCCCCCUACUCAGUCUUUAAACCCACAGUGUAGCAAUUUCCAAAGGGAGCUCAAUGCAUAGAUCCCAGGCCCCUUCAUAUGAGCUCAUGGUUGUAUAAACCUCAGUGUCCAUAUCCUACUGAAACUCUGCCCAGAGGAAAGCAUGUGUUUUCUCAGAACUACUUAUUUUGCUCUUAGAUUAUUUUUAAAAUUUUACUCUUAGAUAUUUAUUGACCUUGAUAAUAUACUAAACUGUUUUUGUUUGUUUGUAUGUUUGUAUUUUAUUGUGGUUAUGUUCUCUUUAAGGUCCAUUACAGUGUUGGAAAACAGUGUAUUCUCUAAAUAAAAAAGAGAAAAAUUUAAAUUAAAAGA
ensembl:lincRNA Gm12371 predicted gene 12371